rnacentral:pre_miRNA from 1 species
AGUGGGAUAGCUGGGUCAAAUGGCAGUUCCAGUCCAGGUUUUCUAAGGAAUCUCCAUACUGCUUUCCAUAUUGGCUGCACCAAUUUGCAGUCCCACCAGCAAU